GGGCAUUGUGUCAAGAAGCAGUGCGGCUUGGUUGGGUUGUGUUUCGGAGGAUGCACAGAUGGACAACAGUGGAUGGGACCGCCUCAUUGAAACAAUUGAGCAUGUCAAAUGCAAGAUCCGUGAAGAUACUCACACAAAAGGGAUAUGGGUAUGUUAUGGACAAGAGCAAUGCAAAUUUUAAUUCAGAGAGACACAACAAUUUGUUUCACUGUCUGGCUGAGCUGCAUGAUAAUGCUCACAGGAGGGGGUUCUGACCACCUUGAACUCAGUGAUGGAACUGAUGGCCCCACAAUCCUUAGCCCUGGCCUGUGUGCCUGUGUGCUAAUGGUAUCAGAUAGAACUUCGGACGUCUUUGACUUGAAAGCCUACAAUGCAGAACAACAUGGCCACUCAAACCGCUUGCCAGUCAUCAAGUUACACAAUACAAUUCUGUUGGACCACUGUCGGAUUCAACCAGACAGCUUUGAAACUGUGGCAUCAUCUCUAAUGUGUGCCAACAACUAUAUCAGAGAACUGGAUCUGAGCAACAACAACAAUCUCAAAUGACAGCAUGAAUCAAAUCAAAUCAAAGUUUAUUUGUCACGUGCGCAGAAUACAACAGGAAAAUGCCACGGGCACUAUCUGAUGUGUGGAAACAUUUAAUUGAAGCUAACAUAGAAGGAAAUGUGUACAUUUGUAAAUACCAUGCCAAAUCAUAUGUGAAGAAUGCAACAAAGAUGCAGAAUCAUCUGGCCAAGUGCAUAAAGUUCCCUCAGUGUUCACAACAAGCAACCUCUAACAAAAGUCCCUCAUUUUCUAUUUGAGGUGAAAAUGAUGAAUCAGACACCUUAUCGAUAGCAACAGCUCAUGGUCGUCCUGGAAUCAGAAGUUGUUUUGACUCAAUGGAGGGACGUAGUCAGAUAAAUGCUGAUGAAUGUCUGGCUUAAGUUGUGUAUGCAACUGGUUCACCUCUGAUGCUCACAGGCAAUGUGUAUUGGAAGAGAUUUCUGAAUGUUCUUCGGCCAGCAUACACCCCUCCAAUCAGACAUGCUUUAUCUAUUAAUUUGCUGGAUGCAGAGUUUAACAGAGUUCAAGUGAAGGUCAAGCAAAUCAUAGAGAAAACAGACUGUAUUGCAAUCAUCUCUGAUGGGUGGUCGAAUGUUCGGGGGCAAGGAAUAAUUAACUACAUUAUCUCCACCCCUCAACCAGUAUUCUACAAGAGCAGACACAAGGGACAACAGACGCACCAGUCUCUACAUUGCAGAUGAGCUGAAGGUAGUCAUCAAUGACCUUGGACCACAGAAGGUAUUUGCACUGGUGACAGACAAUGCUGCGAACAUGAAGGCUGCUUGGUCUAAAGUGAAGGAGUCCUACCCUCACAUCACACCCAUUGACUGUGCUGCUCAUGCAUUGAAUCUGCUCCUCAAGGACGUCAUGGCACUGAAAACAAUGGAUACACUCUACAAGAGAGCCAAGGAAAUGGUUAGGUAUGUGAAGGGUCAUAUUGCAGCAAUCUACCUCACCAAGCAAAGUGAGAAGAAUAAGAGCACCACAUUGAAGCUGCCCAGCAACACACGUCGGGGUGGUGUUGUCAUCCUGUUUGACAGUCUCCUGGAGGACGCGGAGUCUCUCAAAGAAAUGGCCAUAUCAAUAAAAUCAUGGCUAAAUACCAGUGUGUUGAAAAUGUGUCCCAUUUUGCUGAUAUGGACAGCCCCAUCAAGAGGAUUCUCCUGGAUGAUGUAUUUUGGGAGAGAGUGGUAUGUAGCCUGAAACUCCUGAAUCCUAUAGCAGUAGUCAUUGCACGGAUUGAGGGAAACAAUGCCAUCCUGUCUGAUGUUCAGACUCUGCUUGCAGAUGUAAGAGAAGAGAUCCGUACUGCCCUGCCCACUUCACUGUUGCUCCAAUCAGAGGAAACUGCAGUUCUGAAAUACAUAAAAAAUCGUGAAGACUUCUGUCUGAAGCCCAUACACGCUGCAGCGUACAUGUUGGACCCCAAGUAUGCUGGCAAGAGCUUCCUGUCUGGUGCAGAGAUCAACAAGGCCUAUGGUGUCAUCACUACCAUGUCACACCACCUUCGCCUGGAUGAGGACAAGGUUCUUGGCAGUCUGGUGAAGUACACUUCCAAGCAAGGGCUUUGGGGUGGAGAUGCAAUAUGGCAGUUGUGCCAACAUAUCUCAUCAGCCACCUGGUGGAAGGGACUUUGUGGAUUUGAGGCUCUUUCCCUUGUUGCCUCCAUCAUCCUCCAAAUCCCACCAACAUCAGCCACCUCAGAGCACAACUGGCACUUGUUUGGGAACACACACACCAAAGCACGCAACAGGCUGACCAAUACAAGGGUUGAAAAAUUGGUGGCCAUCUGGGCAAAUCUGAGGCUUUUUGAGCCUGACAACAAGCCAUCCUCAACAAGGUUGAAAAGUAACAGUGAAGAUGAGGCCUCACAAUCGGAUGUUCAAGAGGUGGACAUUGAGGAGGUCCAGGGAGAAGACAUGGAAACCUGAGAGGAAGACAACCAAAGCUUUAGUUUCUAGACUAUCAUUUUACAGAUGUAUGUUGAAAACAUUUUUUGGAAAUGCGAUGGAUAAUUGGGGAUCAUUCAAUAUUCCCUUUCUUUUGUUGUUCGGUGAAAUCAUCUCAUGUUGAAGAGUCAACUAAUUUAAUUAAAG
ensembl:lncRNA